UUUUUAGUAUAAGUAUAUCCCGUACAAUAUCUGGGACAUAUUUAUACUUUAA
rnacentral:pre_miRNA from 1 species